rnacentral:rRNA from 1 species
GACGAACGCUGGCGGCGUGCUUAACACAUGCAAGUCGAACGAUGAAGCCGGAGCUUGCUUUGGUGAAUUAGUGGCGAACGGGUGAGUAACACGUGAGUAACCUGCCCUUGACUCUGGGAUAACUGCGGGAAACUGUAGCUAAUACCGGAUACGACCCUCGGAGGCAUCUCCUGGGGGUGGAAAGAAUUUCGGUCAAGGAUGGACUCGCGGCCUAUCAGCUAGUUGGUGAGGUAAAGGCUCACCAAGGCGACGACGGGUAGCCGGCCUGAGAGGGUGACCGGCCACACUGGGACUGAGACACGGCCCAGACUCCUACGGGAGGCAGCAGUGGGGAAUAUUGCACAAUGGGCGCAAGCCUGAUGCAGCAACGCCGCGUGAGGGAUGACGGCCUUCGGGUUGUAAACCUCUUUUAGCAGGGAAGAAGCGAGAGUGACGGUACCUGCAGAAAAAGCACCGGCUAACUUCGUGCCAGCAGCCGCGGUAA